CGAACGGCUCCGUAUAUCUGUUAUAACUCUCCGCGCCCUAAGAAAGGUUGGUAAGCGCAUAUGGUUCGGUAAUUCUGUCAGUAAUACGUGUACCCGCAAGGCGCCCUGGCACUUGGUUCCUUUAGAGAUCGGUGCGUUAACAGGGCGGGCUCCAGAACUACCACUCGACUCCGGUCGUUUGGGAAAAAGCUGGAGUGUUCCUCACCAGGCACGGGGGGAGCCGGGAGAUUUCAGACCUAUCAACUAGAGAACCUUGCAGUGUAUGGUUUUGGUUUUAACGGGUACAGAGGAUCAGGGUUCGAUCCUGGAGAGGUAGCCUGAGAGAUCGCUACUACUUCUAAGGAAGGCAGCAGGCGCGCAACGUUCCCAAUGGGGGGGUUAAAGGUUCCCUGAGGACGUGACGGAAUAUAUCGAUGCCCCGGCCUUUAGGUUGCGGGCAAUCGAAAUGGGGGGAUUUUAAAUCCUACUACCGAGUAACAAUUGGAGGACAAGUCUG
rnacentral:rRNA from 1 species